rnacentral:rRNA from 1 species
AAAGGUCGCGGCGAGACGAGCCGUUUCUCAUUACUAUAGCUGUCAAGUGGAAGUGCAGUGAUGCAUGCAGCUGAGGCAUACUAAUAGACCUUUAGACUUGAAC